rnacentral:rRNA from 1 species
UACGUAGGGGGCAAGCGUUGUCCGGAAUCAUUGGGCGUAAAGAGCGUGUAGGCGGCCCGAUAAGUCCGCUGUGAAAGUCCAGGGCUCAACCCUGGAAGGCCGGUGGAAACUGUCGGGCUAGAGUCCGGAAGAGGCGAGUGGAAUUCCCGGUGUAGCGGUGAAAUGCGCAGAUAUCGGGAGGAACACCAAUGGCGAAGGCAGCUCGCUGGGACGGUACUGACGC